rnacentral:rRNA from 1 species
GACGGAGGAUGCAAGCGUUAUCCGGAAUGUUUGGGCGUAAAACGUCCGCAGGUGGCAGUUCAAGUCUGCUGUCAAAGACCGGGGCUUAACUUCGGAAAGGCAGUGGAAACUGAACAGCUAGAGUAUGGUAGGGGCAGAGGGAAUUCCUGGUGUAGCGGUGAAAUGCGUAGAGAUCAGGAGGAACACCAAUUGCGAAGGCAGCUCGCUGGGACGUGACUGACGCUGAGACGCGAAAGCGUGGGGAGCAAACAGG